rnacentral:rRNA from 1 species
AUUGAACGCUGGCGGAAUGCUUUACACAUGCAAGUCGAACGGCAGCACGGGGGCAACCCUGGUGGCGAGUGGCGAACGGGUGAGUAAUACAUCGGAACGUGCCCAGUCGUGGGGGAUAACGUAGCGAAAGCUACGCUAAUACCGCAUACGAACUGAGGUUGAAAGCGGGGGAUCGCAAGACCUCGCGCGAUUGGAGCGGCCGAUGGCAGAUUAGGUAGUUGGUGGGGUAAAGGCUCACCAAGCCGACGAUCUGUAGCUGGUCUGAGAGGACGACCAGCCACACUGGGACUGAGACACGGCCCAGACUCCUACGGGAGGCAGCAGUGGGGAAUUUUGGACAAUGGGCGAAAGCCUGAUCCAGCCAUUCCGCGUGCAGGAUGAAGGCCCUCGGGUUGUAAACUGCUUUUGUACGGAACGAAAAGGCUUUCUCUAAUACAGAGAGCUCAUGACGGUACCGUAAGAAUAAGCACCGGCUAACUACGUGCCAGCAGCCGCCGUAACAC